CGGUAAUUCCAGCUCCAAUAGCGUAUACUAAAGUUGUUGCAGUUAAAAAGCUCGUAGUUGGAUUUCUGUGGGGGCGGAGCGGCCGGCCGCAACUUGCGGUUCGAGCUAGCGCUUCCCCUACAUCCUGCCGCGAACCGUGCUACCAUUAGUUUGGUGGCGCUGGGGAUCGGCUCGUUUACUUUGAGAAAAAUAGAGUGUUCAAAGCAGGCCACACGCCUUGAAUAAGUUAGCAUGGAAUAAUAAUAAAGGACUUCGGUUCUAUUUUGUUGGUGUUCGGGACUGAAGUAAUGAUUGAUAGGGACAGUUGGGGCGGUCAGUAUUCCAAAGCGAGAGGUGAAAUUCUUAGACCUUCGGAAGACUAACAGCUGCGAAAGCGUUCCGCAAGGAUGUUCCCUUUGAUCAAGAACGAAGGUUGGGGGAUCGAAGACGAUCAGAUACCGUCGUAGUCUCAACUAUAAACUAUACCAGCUAGGGAUCGGCCAACGUUAAAUUAUUCGACUUGGUCGGCACCUUAUGAGAAAUCAAAGCAUCUGGGUUCCGGGGGGAGUAUGGUCGCAAGGCUGAAACUUAAAGGAAUUGACGGAAGGGCACCACCAGCCGUGGAGCCUGUGGCUUAAUUUGACUCAACACGGGAAAACUUACCAGGUCCAGACAUAGUAAGGAUUGACAGAUUGAUAGCUCUUUCUUGAUUCUGUGGGUGGUGGUGCAUGGCCGUUCUUAGUUGGUGGAGUGAUUUGUCUGGUUAAUUCCGUUAACGAACGAGACCCCAGCCUGCUAAAUAGCGCGGUUGAGCUUUGCUCGGCGCGAGCUUCUUAGAGGGACUAUGAUGCGCGAUAGCACAUGGAAGUUUGGGGCAAUAACAGGUCUGUGAUGCCCUUAGAUGUUCUGGGCCGCACACGGGCUACACUGGCGCCUGCAACGAGCAUAUCAGCUGGCCCGAGAGGGUCUUGGCUAAUCUUUUGAACCGGCGCCGUGCUUGGGAUUGACCAUUGCAAUUGUUGGUCAUGCAACGAGGAAUGCCUUGUAAACGCGAGUCAUCAACUCGCAUUGAAUACGUCCCUGCCCCUUGUACACACCGCCC
rnacentral:rRNA from 1 species